UUUAUUUGCCUUAACCAAUGGAAGGCAUGUCUCUCUGGCUAUGUCUUCUCCUGUGGGCAGCAAUGUUAACAGAUGUCCAGUCUCAAAUCCAGUUUAUCCAAUCUGGCCCUGAAGUCAAAAGGCCUGGAGAGUCUGUGAGACUCACCUGUAAGGCAUCUGGGUAUACAUUUACCAGCCAUUCAAUCGUCUGGGUCAAACAGCCCCCAGGAAAAGGACUGGAGUGGGCCGGCACUAUAUGGACAAAUAACUUCAAUACUUUCUAUCCUGAGUCUCUCAAAGGCCGAGUCACCAUCAGUGUGGACACUUCCAUCAGUACUUCAUAUCUGCAGUUGACCAGCUUGAAAGCUGAAGACACAGCAGUAUAUUAUUGUGCAAGACACACACUGAGGAAAACUGCCUACACUGACAAUCAAAAACCCUCCAGGGGGAAACUUCAGAGGAAGUUUUGGCAGGGAAAGCAAAAGAUAAACUACUGA